CUGGCGGCGUGCUUAACACAUGCAAGUCGACGGAAAGGCCCUGCUUGCAGGGUACUCGAGUGGCGAACGGGUGAGUAACACGUGGGUGAUCUGCCCUGCACUUCGGGAUAAGCCUGGGAAACUGGGUCUAAUACCGGAUAGGAGCCAUUUUUAGUGUGAUGGUUGGAAAGUUUUUUCGGUGUAGGAUGAGCUCGCGGCCUAUCAGCUUGUUGGUGGGGUAAUGGGCCUACCAAGGCGGCGACGGGUAGCCGGCCUGAGAGGGUGGACGGCCACAUUGGGACUGAGAUACGGCCCAGACUCCUACGGGAGGCAGCAGUGGGGAAUAUUGCACAAUGGGCGCAAGCCUGAUGCAGCGACGCCGCGUGGGGGAUGACGGCCUUCGGGUUGUAAACUCCUUUCGCUAGGGACGAAGCUUUUUGUGACGGUACCUAGAUAAGAAGCACCGGCUAACUACGUG
rnacentral:rRNA from 1 species